rnacentral:lncRNA from 1 species
AUCCUGUAGGAUUUUUGUAAGAGCAAACACCAGACAGAUGCGGUAAGGAAGCAUCAGUCGGAAAGGUAAAGAUGUCUAGUGUCAUACCCUUGUUAUGACUUUAGACUUACCUGUUCCCUGUAACUCAUUGCAUGGGAGUCAAUCACAGGAAUUACUGAAUUUUAAACUAAUGGAUUGGUUGGGUUAAAUAAGGAAAGCAAAAUUAUCCUGUCUCACAUUCAGAUGCCAAAGGGGAGAUUCCUGUUUUCCUGUCUUUUGGCCAUGUUCUCUCCUCCUCAAGAAAUUUCUCAGUUCACAAGAUUAAAAAAGCUGUAGACUGUGAAUGCAUUUUUAGGUUCUGGGAGUACAUAAACUCUGUGUGUGUGUGUGUGUGCGUGUGUGUUAUAAAAAGGAUGUGUGUGUAAAGGCAUGUAAAUUACAAAGGAAAAUGUCAUAGUUUAUGCAUUAUUUCCUUUAAUAAGUAUCCUCUAUUCAAAUCCAGAUGGUCCUUUGAGAAUUUUCUGCUACUGAAGAAAGAGUUCCCUUCCUCUUGGCUGCCGAACAUCUUUGCACCACACCUGGGAAUGACGCUGGUCACAUUCUCCUGUCUCCUGGCUUUGGAUCUGAAUGUUUCACCACGUUAUUAUAAUGUCGAUGUUCAGAUCAAGUCCCUAAGCCUUUCCCCAUCUGUCGAAAAUCCUCUCUGCAGGCUUACCACGAAAAGAGGAAGAAGAAAAGAAAGCUAUUCAGUAGAGUACUGAGUAAUUUCCUGAUUUAAUAAAUAAAACUUAAG